rnacentral:rRNA from 1 species
UUUAUGGAGAGUUUGAUCCUGGUUCAGGAUGAACGCUGGCGGCGUGCCUAAUACAUGCAAGUCGAGCGAACGGACGAGAAGCUUGCUUCUCUGAUGUUAGCGGCGGACGGGUGAGUAACACGUGGAUAACCUACCUAUAAGACUGGGAUAACUUCGGGAAACCGGAGCUAAUACCGGAUAAUAUUUUGAACCGCAUGGUUCAAAAGU